CCCUUAGAGCGUUAUACCAAACAAAAGUAGUUAGUUAUUUUAAUUUUAACAACAAAAUUGGACGCGUUGAAUAGGGAA
rnacentral:sRNA from 12 species